rnacentral:rRNA from 1 species
AUUGAACGCUGGCGGCAGGCUUAACACAUGCAAGUCGAGCGGGGAAAAGUAGCUUGCUACUGGACCUAGCGGCGGACGGGUGAGUAAUGCUUAGGAAUCUGCCUAUUAGUGGGGGACAACAUCUCGAAAGGGAUGCUAAUACCGCAUACGUCCUACGGGAGAAAGCAGGGGACCUUCGGGCCUUGCGCUAAUAGAUGAGCCUAAGUCGGAUUAGCUAGUUGGUGGGGUAAAGGCCUACCAAGGCGACGAUCUGUAGCGGGUCUGAGAGGAUGAUCAGCCACACUGGGAAUGAGACACGGCCCAGGCUCCUACGGGAGGCAGCAGUGGGGAAUAUUGGACAAUGGGGGGAACCCUGAUCCAGCCAUGCCGCGUGUGUGAAGAAGGCCUUUUGGUUGUAAAGCACUUUAAGUCGGGAGGAAGGGCUGCAGGUUAAUACCUUGCAGUCUUGACGUUACCGACAGAAUAAGCACCGGCUAACUUCGUGCCAGCAGCCGCCGUAAUAC